GAACGGUGCCACACUGCGGCGAAAGAGCAUUGAACUUCCCAGGCGCGCUUCGGCCGCGGCGAGGGAAGCAGCAUAAAUCACCUGAACUUGACUUCGACAACUCCACGCACCCAAGACCCGGCAACCUGAGUAAGUGUCUACGGGAUCGAGGAAGGGGACCUUUUAACAGCAGAGGAACAGGCCCUUCAGCUCAAGAUAUUUGCGCAGAACAUGAUGCCGAAUUAAAUUAUAUCUGCAGAAGGACUUUAGCUGUAUUGGAGGAAAAUGAGGGGCUGCUGUAUUCUCUGCAUGCCUGAGUGAGGCUUGGCUCUCUCCCAGCACUCCG